UACAGAGGCCCCAAGCAUUAUCCGGAAUCACUGGGCGUAAAGGGUGUCGAGGCGGUCAUAUUAGUCGGUCGUAAAAUCCGCGAGCUUAACUUGCGGUCCGCGACCGAAACGGUAUGACUUGAGAGUUGGAGAGGUGCGUGGAACUCACGGUGUAGGGGUGAAAUCCGUUGAUAUCGUGGGGAACACCAAAGGCGAAGGCAGCGCACUGGCCAAUUUCUGACGCUCACACACGAAAGCUAGGGUAGCGAACGGG
rnacentral:rRNA from 1 species